rnacentral:rRNA from 1 species
CAGUCGCCACGGUAAUCCGUAGGGUGCGAGCGUUAAUCGGAAUUACUGGGCGUAAAGCGUGCGUAGGCGGUUUGUUAAGUCUGUUGUGAAAUCCCCGGGUUCAACCUGGGAAUGGCAGUGGAUACUGGCUCGCUAGAGUGUGUCAGAGGAUGGUGGAAUUCCCGGUGUAGCGGUGAAAUGCGUAGAGAUCGGGAGGAACAUCAGUGGCGAAGGCGGCCAUCUGGGACAACACUGACGCUGAGGCACGAAAGCGUGGGGAGCAAACAGGAUUAGAUACCCCCGUAGUCCCUGUCUCUUAUAC